GAUGAACGCUGGCGGCGUGCCUAAUACAUGCAAGUCGAGCGAACAGACGAGGAGCUUGCUCCUUCGACGUUAGCGGCGGACGGGUGAGUAACACGUAGGUAACCUACCUAUAAGACUGGGAUAACUUCGGGAAACCGGAGCUAAUACCGGAUAAUAUUUCGAACCGCAUGGUUCGAUAGUGAAAGAUGGCUUUGCUAUCACUUAUCGAUGGACCUGCGCCGUAUUAGCUAGUUGGUAAGGUAACGGCUUACCAAGGCAACGAUACGUAGCCGACCUGAGAGGGUGAUCGGCCACACUGGAACUGAGACACGGUCCAGACUCCUACGGGAGGCAGCAGUAGGGAAUCUUCCGCAAUGGGCGAAAGCCUGACGGAGCAACGCCGCGUGAGUGAUGAAGGUCUUCGGAUCGUAAAACUCUGUUAUUAGGGAAGAACAAACGUGUAAGUAACUGUGCACGUCUUGACGGUACCUAAUCAGAAAGCCACGGCUAACUACGUG
rnacentral:rRNA from 1 species